GCACGCAAGAGGCCCUUCAGGCAGACAUGAGCCCUAUAAACAAACCACCAGCCUCAGGGAGCCCAAGAUCAUAAGGGCACAGCAAAAAUAUGUUUAGCAUGUUUGUCAUGUUGGCAUUCUGAGUCCUCUAGAGCUAAAGUAAAUAGAAGACUACAGAGAUAAGGCUUGCUUUUUACCCACUUUGAGAAUGUGACAUCUUUUCCAUGGCCAACCUGUCAUUGAGUGUGUCAGCCUGUUGGAAGUUCCUGUCCAGAGGAAAGGAGCAGAGCUACUGACAAGAUCUCACCUAGGUGGGAGGAUUUCUUUCACCACCCUUACAACAGCUCUGGAGUCCUAAGGUUAGCUCCAAACCCUAACUUUUGAGAAGAGGGGCAAGAAAGCCAGGCGGAGUAGAAAACUGGAAAGCAA